UGGGGAAUUUUGGACAAUGGGCGAAAGCCUGAUCCAGCAAUGCCGCGUGUGUGAAGAAGGCCUUCGGGUUGUAAAGCACUUUUGUCCGGAAAGAAAUCCUUGGUUCUAAUACAGCCGGGGGAUGACGGUACCGGAAGAAUAAGCACCGGCUAACUAAGUGCCAGCAGCCGCGGUAAUACGUAGGGUGCGAGCGUUAAUCGGAAUUACUGGGCGUAAAGCGUGCGCAGGCGGUUUGCUAAGACCGAUGUGAAAUCUCCGGGCUCAACCUGGGAACUGCAUUGGUUACUGGCAGGCUAGAGUAUGGCAGAGGGGGGUAGAAUUCCACGUGUAGCAGUGAAAUGCGUAGAGAUGUGGAGGAAUACCGAUGGCGAAGGCAGCCCCCUGGGCCAAUACUGACGCUCAUGCACGAAAGCGUGGGGAGCAAAC
rnacentral:rRNA from 1 species